AUGAUGUUCUGUCGUAAAAGCAUUUUUGGACCUGGCCGAACUACUAUAGGAUACGUGCCACUAGUGCACAAGUUGAGUGAUGCUAACAUUCAUAGAAAUAUCAUGCUCUCAAAUGUUGUUGUGCCUGCGCUGAUGGAUGUUGAAGGUCGGAUGAUAAUUAUUAGCCCUUUGAAGGUCAGCUUCAAAUAUAGAUACUCGACUGAAUGCCAACCAGAUGGAUGCCUCAAAAUUGAAGGAUGGAGACAAAUAGUGAAUGAGUGUAGGCCACAAUCGGAGACCGAUAGAUCUCUGUGCUCCAUCAUGGAGAUUGAGGGAUUUUUCUGUUUUAUUCUAUUAUCCCUAAGAGAGAGGAGUAGGUCCUAG
rnacentral:rRNA from 1 species